UUAAUAAAUAUAGUGUUUGCUAAGAGGAAUGAUAAAACGAUAUUGCAAUAUACCCUUGCACAUCGAAUUAUAUUGGUUCCUACUACUAGUUAUUAAUGUGCUUGCUGCGCAGUUAUAUGAACAAAAUGUGGCCACUUAUAGUAUUGUUUUUACUGAAUUAUCUCAAAGUGUUACUUGAUAAAAUCCAGUUAGAUAUAUCUGAAGUAAACGGUGUGAAACUGAUAAUGCGACCUCCAUACCUGGCCUGUAGUGUGUUCUUGAAUGGAGAGGUAAAACUGGUAAUGCAAAUAGCAACAUUUGUUUUUGUCCAAGGCUCAACCAGUCUUCACUUGACCACCUAGCAUCAUAGCAUGAGUUUUGUCUAACCUCCAAAAGCUUCAAACACUAACACAGAAGGCAGACGUUUUUUGUUUGCAGCUUAUUUUUUCGGARAAGUCGGAGGCGAUCGAAUAAACCCCCAAUUCUCCUAGCAAACAUAUAAUCUUAGGACAAUAAAAUGGAUGAGUUACUGGGAAGAUUAAAUGACCAACAGGACAUUAAAAACUGUAACAUCUUAUGCUUCACGGAGUCGAGGCUGAACGACGACAAUAUCAACAUACAGCUGGCUGGUUAUGUGAUGUUCCGACAGGAUAGAACAUCGGCGUCUGAGAAAGCAUGUACACCAUCUUAAGWAUUAUGGAGAACUGACGGCAAACACACUGAAGACAAAACAUGCCCCUAAGAUUCCCUCCACCAGCAAGCAGAGCACAUUACUGAAGACAGUGUCUCAAAAAUCCAUCAACAAAGCUGUGGUGAAGUAUGUGGUCCAAGGGUUCCAACCAUUCGCUGUUGUAGAACACAAACCGUUCAGAGAGUUUGUCCAGGAUCUGCAGCCUAACUCAAAGAUCUUAUCAAGGCCCACACUGCGCUCCAGGAUUGAUGAAGGCUCCAAGGAAAUGAAGAAGAAGGUGACUGAGGCCAUGAGAGGAGUUGACCACAUCGCCACCACCACCGACUGCUGGUCUGCAAGAAGACAGAGCUUCAUUGGUGUUACUGCCCACUGGAUAGACCCUGACAGUUUCAACAGAUGCUCUGCAGCCCUGGCCUGUAAACGGUUGAGAGGAUCGCACACCUUCGAUGUGUUGGCAGGCACCCUAAAUAACAUCCAUUCUGAGUUUGAAAUCAUGGGUUAAGAUUGUGAGAACAACAACAGACAACGGCUCUAACUUAUUGAAUGUUUUCAGAGUUUUUGAUGAAAAGAUGAAAAACAACGAGACAGUGGAAGCAGUGGGUGGUGAAGCAGCUCAGCCAGGACAGGAAGAUGGUGAAGAGGAACAAGAGGAGAGUGAAGAAGUGGAGUUUGUUGAGGUGGCAAUGAUCCUGAAUGAAGAUGAUGGUUUUGAGUACCAGUUGCCGAAGCACCAGCACUGUUCUUGCCACCGACUCUAAGUAUCUACAGUCAAUGCCCUGAAAGCAACAUCCAGUAAGAAAAAAUAAAUAAAAAGUGUCCCGUUCAAUAUUUGCCAAGUGCCAAGCCCCAAGCACUAUGGAACAAAUGAAGAUGCUUGCAGCUGCUGCGCCCGAAUGCUACAGUACAAGGUGGAACUCCUGGUUCAUGGCUGUAGAAAGACUCCUGAGGAUCGUCAAAGACAAAGGAGUGGCGGUCGUCAGAGUUCUCUGCACAGACUUCGAGGUUCCAAUGUAGGUUCAAUCCAGCUGCACUCGCCUUCCUCACAGAGUAUGCUGCCACCAUGAGCCCAGUCGCAAAGGCCGUCAACAUCCUGCAGGCUGAAACCAAUGUCCAGAUGGGGUGGCUACUUCCAACUACCAACCUGCUGAUCACAAAACUUGACMGACUCAAGUUGUCCCUGAAGUACUGUAAGCCUCUGGUGGAUAGCUACAACUGGGACUGAAGAAGCGCUUCAGCCACAUGUUUCACAACCCUGAGCUGAUAGCAGCUGCAAUCCUUCUCCCCAAAUUCAAAACAAUGUGGACAAAGGAUGAUACCACCAUCAGAAUGGGAAUGGACUACAUMAAGGACCUGRAAGAACCCUUGAUGCAGCUAGGUGAUGGCAUCAGUUCAUCAGAUGAGGACUUCUUCUCUGCCAUGAAAACCUCUCAAGCACAAGAAAUCUCCAAACAGAUGGACGGACACCUGGCCUGUUCAGCUGAUCAUAUGGAGUUGCUCAAGUCCUUCCCGGCAGUCUGUAAGCUGUCUCUGAGGUUAAACACACCCUUACCUACAUCAAGGCUGUUCAGCGUUGCAGUACUUGUUUUCAGCCCCAAUGGCUGGAUUCCAGAAACGUUGAAAACCAGCUUUUCCUGAAGAUGAACCGUAAAUUCUUCAACUUCAAGUAAUGACAGCUUAACGCUAGCAAGCCCAAGGACACGGCUGCCUUAUGCGUUUUGUUAAUUUAUGUUUAAAAUUCUAAAUCUUUACACCCAAGCCAUAAGACUCCUGAACAGGUAAUCAAAUGGCUACCAGGACUAUUUGCAUUG